rnacentral:rRNA from 1 species
UACGAAGGGGGCUAGCGUUGCUCGGAAUGACUGGGCGUAAAGGGCGCGUAGGCGGAUGGCACAGUCAGAUGUGAAAUUCCCGGGCUUAACCUGGGGGCUGCAUUUGAUACGUGUUGUCUUGAGUUCGGAAGAGGGUCGUGGAAUUCCCAGUGUAGAGGUGAAAUUCGUAGAUAUUGGGAAGAACACCGGUGGCGAAGGCGGCGACCUGGUCCUUAACUGACGCUGAGGCGCGAAAGCGUGGGGAGCAAACAGG